AUACACGCUGGCGGCGUGCCUAAUACAUGCCAGUCGAGCGAACAGACGAGGAGCUUGCUCCUCUGACGUUAGCGGCGGACGGGUGAGUAACACGUGGAUAACCUACCUAUAAGACUGGGAUAACUUCGGGAAACCGGAGCUAAUACCGGAUAAUAUAUUGAACCGCAUGGUUCAAUAGUGAAAGACGGUUUUGCUGUCACUUAUAGAUGGAUCCGCGCCGCAUUAGCUAGUUGGUAAGGUAACGGCUUACCAAGGCAACGAUGCGUAGCCGACCUGAGAGGGUGAUCGGCCACACUGGAACUGAGACACGGUCCAGACUCCUACGGGAGGCAGCAGUAGGGAAUCUUCCGCAAUGGGCGAAAGCCUGACGGAGCAACGCCGCGUGAGUGAUGAAGGUCUUCGGAUCGUAAAACUCUGUUAUUAGGGAAGAACAAAUGUGUAAGUAACUAUGCACGUCUUGACGGUACCUAAUCAGAAAGCCACGGCUAACUACGUG
rnacentral:rRNA from 1 species